rnacentral:tRNA from 1 species
GCCUGGGUGGCUCCGUUGGUUAAGUGUCUGACUUCAGCUCAGGUUGUGAUCUCAUGGUUUGUGAGUUCAAAUCCCACAUCGGGCU